rnacentral:rRNA from 1 species
AGAGUUUGAUCAUGGCUCAGAACGAACGCUGGCGGCGUGCCUAACACAUGCAAGUCGAGCGAGAAAGUCUCCGCAAGGGGAUGAGUAAAGCGGCGCACGGGUGCGUAACACGUGGAUAACCUGCCUUGAAGUCCGGAACAACCUUCCGAAAGGAGGGCUAAUACUGGAUAAGACCACGGGAGCUUCGGCUCCUGAGGUAAAAAGAUGGCCUCUGCAUGCAAGCUAUCACUUCUAGAGGGGUCCGCGGCCCAUCAGCUAGUUGGCGGGGUAAUGGCCCACCAAGGCUACGACGGGUAGCUGGUCUAAGAGGACGAUCAGCCACACUGGAACUGAGACACGGUCCAGACUCCUACGGGAGGCAGCAGUGGGGAAUUUUGCGCAAUGGGCGAAAGCCUGACGCAGCAACGCCGCGUGAGUGAUGAAGGUCUUCGGAUCGUAAAGCUCUUUCAGCCGGGACGAAACACCUGGAGCUAAUACCUCCGGGCUUGACGGUACCGGAAGAAGAAGCACCGGCUAACUCUGUGCCAGCAGCCGCGGUAAUACAGAGGGUGCGAGCGUUGUUCGGAAUUAUUGGGCGUAAAGCGCGUGUAGGCGGUGGUGCAUGUCGGGUGUGAAAGCCCUCGGCUUAACCGAGGAAGUGCGCCCGAAACUGCAUCGCUGGAGUGCCGGAGAGGGUGGCGGAAUUCCCGGUGUAGAGGUGAAAUUCGUAGAUAUCGGGAGGAACACCAGUGGCGAAGGCGGCCACCUGGACGGACACUGACGCUGAGACGCGAAAGCGUGGGUAGCAAACAGGAUUAGAUACCCUGGUAGUCCACGCCGUAAACGAUGGGAACUAGCUGUAGCGGGUGUUGACCCCUGCUGUGGCGAAGCUAACGCAUUAAGUUCCCCGCCUGGGAAGUACGGCCGCAAGGUUAAAACUCAAAGGAAUUGACGG